UGGGGAAUAUUGGACAAUGGGCGCAAGCCUGAUCCAGCCAUGCCGCGUGGGUGAUGAAGGCCCUAGGGUUGUAAAGCCCUUUCGGCGGGGAAGAUAAUGACGGUACCCGCAGAAGAAGCCCCGGCUAACUUCGUGCCAGCAGCCGCGGUAAGACGUAGGGGGCCAGCGUUGCUCGGAAUUACUGGGCGUAAAGGGUUCGUAGGCGGUGUGGUAAGUCGGAAGUGAAAUCUCUGGGCUUAACUCAGAGGCUGCUUUCGAAACUGCUGUGCUUGAGUGUGGGAGAGGCGCGUGGAAUUGCAGGUGUAGCGGUGAAAUGCGUAGAUAUCUGCAGGAACACCCGUGGCGAAGGCGGCUGACUGGAUCGCAACUGACACUGAGGAACGAAAGCUAGGGGAGCAAACAGGAUUAGAUACCCUGGUAGUCCUAGCCCUAAACCAUCGGAACUUGGGGUGGCCCGCGUAGGCGGGUCGUCCCGUAGCUAACGCGUUAAGUUCCGCGCCUGGGGAGUACGGUCGCAAGACUG
rnacentral:rRNA from 1 species